rnacentral:rRNA from 1 species
CAGCCGCCGCGGUAAUACCGGCGGCCCGAGUGGCGGUCACUCUUAUUGGGCUUAAAGCGUCCGUAGCCGGGUUGGGAAGUCCUCCGGGAAAUCUGGCCGCUUAACGGUCAGAAUGCCGGAGGAUACUCCCAGCCUAGGGAGCGGGAGAGGCCGAGGGUAUUCCCGGAGUAGGGGUGGAAUCCUAUAAUCCCGGGAGGACCACCGGUGGCGAAGGCGCUCGGCUGGAACGCGUCCGACGGUGAGGGACGAAGGCCAGGGGAGCAAACCGGAUUAGAUACCCGGGUAGUCCUGGCUGUAAACGAUGCGGACUUUGUGUCGGACAAGCUAUGAGCUUGUCCGGUGCCGGAGGGAAACCGUUAAGUCCGCCGCCUGGGGAGUACGGCCGCAAGGCUGAAACUUAAAGGAAUUGGCGGG